rnacentral:rRNA from 1 species
CUACGGGCCGCUGCAGUCGAGAAUAGUCUACAAUGGACGAAAGUCUGAUAGUGCAACGCCGCGUGGGUGAUGAAGCAUUUCGGUGUGUAAAACCCUUUUCUUUGUGAGCAAUGCCAUUAUGGUUAAUAGCUAUAGUGGAGCGAUAUUAGCAGAGGAAUAAGCCACGGCUAGACUCCGUGCCAGCAGCCGCGGUAACACGGGGGUGGCGAGCGUUGUCCGGAAUCACUAGGCGUAAAGGGCAGGUAGGCGGAAUAUCUAGUCAUUUGUUAAAGGCAUUGGCUCAACCAAUGUACGGCAUAUGAUACUGGUAUUCUAGAAUUUGGUAUGGGAAGACGGAAUUCCUGGUGUAGCGGUGGAAUGCGCAGAUAUCAGGAAGAACACCGGAGGCGAAGGCGGUCUUCUGGGCCAAAAUUGACGCUCAACUGCGAAGGUGUGGGUAUCAAACAGGAUUAGAUACCCGCGUAGUC